GAGAGAGAGAGAGAGAGAGAGAGAGGACGAGAGGAGGAGGAGAACCAGAAGGGGAGGAAAAAAAUGUACUUUGUUUGAGACGGGGGCUGUGUGGGAGGGGAGAGAGAGAGACAGAGGCAUAUAAUAGAGUUGUUUUGGGAGUAAAGAUUGUGAGAAAGCUUUGGUUUUUUUAUUUCCUUUAAUUUUUUUGAUUGUUCCACUGGCUAAUGAUCUUCGUUAUAGCAGCGUUUGGAGAGAGAAAUCCGACAUCGCCAUAAAGAAAAAGAGCGAAAUUAGAAGAGACGAGAAUGAUUUUUCUUAUAUAAUUGAAUUUAAUUUGGAGGGUUGGCUUUUUUGGGAGGGGGCUGGCUGAUGGAAACGUAUAUACCCUUUGGAGGCAAACCUACCGACAGGAGACUGAAAGUUCCCGACAGCGUUUCAGGCAACGUUCGCUCCGUAUAUAAUUUGAUUUUGUUCCUUUUUUUUAUAUAUUAGGAGUUCUGAUAAGUGUGCUGUUCUUUUCCAUCGUCUGCCCUCAAA
rnacentral:lncRNA from 1 species